GAGGGAAACCGAGUCUUAAUUGGGCGUUAAGUUGCAGGGUAUAGACCCGAAACCCGGUGAUCUAGCCAUGGGCAGGUUGAAGGUUGGGUAACACUAACUGGAGGACCGAACCGACUAAUGUUGAAAAAUUAGCGGAUGACCUGUGGCUGGGGGUGAAAGGCCAAUCAAACCGGGAGAUAGCUGGUUCUCCCCGAAAGCUAUUUAGGUAGCGCCUCGUGAAUUCAUCUCCGGGGGUAGAGCACUGUUUCGGCUAGGGGGCCAUCCCGGCUUACCAACCCGAUGCAAACUGCGAAUACCGGAGAAUGUUAUCACGGGAGACACACGGCGGGUGCUAACGUCCGUCGUGAAGAGGGAAACAACCCAGACCGCCAGCUAAGGUCCCAAAGUCAUGGUUAAGUGGGAAACGAUGUGGGAAGGCCCAGACAGCCAGGAUGUUGGCUUAGAAGCAGCCAUCAUUUAAAGAAAGCGUAAUAGCUCACUGGUCGAGUCGGCCUGCGCGGAAGAUGUAACGGGGCUAAACCAUGCACCGAAGCUGCGGCAGCGAACGUAUCACUUAAAGCGAUUCAGCGGGUUACGAUUGACGGAGCGAAGCGACGUCAAAGCGUAUACAAAGUCGAGUCGGUUUAAGGAUACGUUCGUUGGGUAGGGGAGCGUUCUGUAAGCCUGCGAAGGUGGCCUGUGAGGGUUGCUGGAGGUAUCAGAAGUGCGAAUGCUGACAUAAGUAACGAUAAAGCGGGUGAAAAGCCCGCUCGCCGGAAGACCAAGGGUUCCUGUCCAACGUUAAUCGGGGCAGGGUGAGUCGACCCCUAAGGCGAGGCCGAAAGGCGUAGUCGAUGGGAAACGGGUUAAUAUUCCCGUACUUGGUGUUACUGCGAAGGGGGGACGGAGAAGGCUAUGUUGGCCGGGCGACGGUUGUCCCGGUUUAAGCGUGUAGGUGUGUGUUCCAGGUAAAUCCGGUUCACUUUAACACUGAGGCGUGACGACGAGGCACUACGGUGCUGAAGCAACAAAUGCCCUGCUUCCAGGAAAAGCCUCUAAGCAUCAGGUAACAUCAAAUCGUACCCCAAACCGACACAGGUGGUCAGGUAGAGAAUACCAAGGCGCUUGAGAGAACUCGGGUGAAGGAACUAGGCAAAAUGGUGCCGUAACUUCGGGAGAAGGCACGCUGACACGUAGGUGAAGUGAUUUACUCACGGAGCUGAAGUCAGUCGAAGAUACCAGCUGGCUGCAACUGUUUAUUAAAAACACAGCACUGUGCAAACACGAAAGUGGACGUAUACGGUGUGACGCCUGCCCGGUGCCGGAAGGUUAAUUGAUGGGGUCAGCGCAAGCGAAGCUCCUGAUCGAAGCCCCGGUAAACGGCGGCCGUAACUAUAACGGUCCUAAGGUAGCGAAAUUCCUUGUCGGGUAAGUUCCGACCUGCACGAAUGGCGUAAUGAUGGCCAGGCUGUCUCCACCCGAGACUCAGUGAAAUUGAACUCGCUGUGAAGAUGCAGUGUACCCGCGGCAAGACGGAAAGACCCCGUGAACCUUUACUAUAGCUUGACACUGAACAUUGAGCCUUGAUGUGUAGGAUAGGUGGGAGGCUUUGAAGUGUGGACGCCAGUCUGCAUGGAGCCGACCUUGAAAUACCACCCUUUAAUGUUUGAUGUUCUAACGUGGACCCGUGAUCCGGGUUGCGGACAGUGUCUGGUGGGUAGUUUGACUGGGGCGGUCUCCUCCUAAAGAGUAACGGAGGAGCACGAAGGUUGGCUAAUCCUGGUCGGACAUCAGGAGGUUAGUGCAAUGGCAUAAGCCAGCUUGACUGCGAGCGUGACGGCGCGAGCAGGUGCGAAAGCAGGUCAUAGUGAUCCGGUGGUUCUGAAUGGAAGGGCCAUCGCUCAACGGAUAAAAGGUACUCCGGGGAUAACAGGCUGAUACCGCCCAAGAGUUCAUAUCGACGGCGGUGUUUGGCACCUCGAUGUCGGCUCAUCACAUCCUGGGGCUGAAGUAGGUCCCAAGGGUAUGGCUGUUCGCCAUUUAAAGUGGUACGCGAGCUGGGUUUAGAACGUCGUGAGACAGUUCGGUCCCUAUCUGCCGUGGGCGCUGGAGAACUGAGGGGGGCUGCUCCUAGUACGAGAGGACCGGAGUGGACGCAUCACUGGUGUUCGGGUUGUCAUGCCAAUGGCACUGCCCGGUAGCUAAAUGCGGAAGAGAUAAGUGCUGAAAGCAUCUAAGCACGAAACUUGCCCCGA
rnacentral:rRNA from 1 species